AAUGAACGCUGGCGGUGUGCCUAACACAUGCAAGUCGAACGGCAGCACAGUAAGAUCUUGCUCUUACCGGUGGCGAGUGGCGGGCGGGUGAGGAGUACAUCGGAAUCUACUUUUUCGUGGGUGAUAACGGAGGGAAACUUACUCUAAUACCGCAUACGACCUACGGGUGAAAUCAGGAGAGCUUCGCACCUUGCGCGAUUCAAUGAGCCGAUGUCGGAUUAGCUAGGUGGCGGGGUAAAGGCCCACCAAGGCGACGAUGCGUAGCUGGCCUGAGAGGAUGAUCAGCCACACUGGAACUGAGACACGGUCCAGACUCCUACGGGAGGCAGCAGUGGGGAAUCUUGGGCAAUGGGCGCAAGCCUGACACAGCCAUGCCGCGUGGGUGAAGAAGGCCUUCGGGUUGUAAAACCCUUUUGUUGGGAAAGAACAGCAGCAGGUUAAUACCUAGCUGUUCUGACGGUACCUAAAGAAUAAGCACCGGCUAACUACGUG
rnacentral:rRNA from 1 species